AUUGAACGCUGGCGGCAUGCCUUACACAUGCAAGUCGAACGGCAGCACGGGUGCUUGCACCUGGUGGCGAGUGGCGAACGGGUGAGUAAUACAUCGGGACAUGUCCUGGAGUGGGGGAUAGCCCGGCGAAAGCCGGAUUAAUACCGCAUACGAUCUACGGGUGAAAGCGGGGGACCUUCGGGCCUCGCGCUAUAGGGUUGGCCGAUGGCUGAUUAGCUAGUUGGUGGGGUAAAGGCCUACCAAGGCGACGAUCAGUAGCUGGUCUGAGAGGACGACCAGCCACACUGGGACUGAGACACGGCCCAGACUCCUACGGGAGGCAGCAGUGGGGAAUUUUGGACAAUGGGCGAAAGCCUGAUCCAGCAAUGCCGCGUGUGUGAAGAAGGCCUUCGGGUUGUAAAGCACUUUUGUCCGGAAAGAAAUCCUUGGCCCUAAUACGGUCGGGGGAUGACGGUACCGGAAGAAUAAGCACCGGCUAACUACGUG
rnacentral:rRNA from 1 species